ACUCCUACGGGAGGCAGCAGUGGGAAUAUUGGACAAUGGGGCACCGUAGCAUCCAGCCAUGCCGCGUGAGUGAUGAAGGCCUUAGGGUUGUAAAGCUCUUUCAGCGAGGAGGAUAAUGACGUUACUCGCAGAAGAAGCCCGCGUACAUUCGUGCCAGCAGCCGCGGUAAUACGAAGGGCGUAGCGUUGUUCGGAAUCACUGGGCGUAAAGCGCACGUAGGCGGAUUGAUAAGUUAGGGGUGAAAUCCCGGGGCUCAACCUCGGAACUGCCUUUGAUACUGUCAGUCUUGAGUCCGAGAGAGGUGAGUGGAACUCCGAGUGUAGAGGUGAAAUUCGUAGAUAUUCGGAAGAACACCAGUGGCGAAGGCGGCUCACUGGCUCGGUACUGACGCUGAGGUGCGAAAGCGUGGGAGCAAACAGGAUUACUUACCCUGGUAGGCUCUGCUAGUC
rnacentral:rRNA from 1 species